UUAACAACCUCACCUUAAGAUUUUUUUUCUUCUCAUUUUAUGUUUACUUCCGGUAAGUAAUGAUAUAUGUGGUUGAUUAUCAAAUUCAAUAAUGCAUUUCUAAUUCAAUAAUCCUAAUAUAUAGGGCGUACCUAAACAACCGGGUGGAGUUGAGUGUGGCUAUUAUGUGAUGCGAUAUAUGAAAGAUAUUAUAAAUGAUGACACUCUUUCAUUUUCAACCAAGUGGGCGGCAAAGAGUCGGAACUCAUAUACCCAAGAGCAACUUGAUGAGGUGCGCAUUGAAGCAGCUGACUACUUGCAGACUUUGCUAUAGCUAGAUCUUGACAAGCAAUAUGAUUUUGAGUAAGGCUAGAUUUUACUGACCAUUUUGUAGUACAUGUAGUGAUAUCAGGAUGAAUUGUGAACAAAUUAUACUGCAUGUAGUUAUUGCAGUAGUGGUAUCUUCUACACUAGCCUUAAAGUAGGUUAGGGUUUAUUGUGCAAAACUUUUGAAACUACCUCAAGCUCUAAUUUUGGAUAGAAAUUAAUACAAUUCCCUAAUAUUUAAAGUAUAUUUGAAUUU